UACCAGACUCCUACGGGAGGCAGCAGUGGGGAAUAUUGCACAAUGGGGGAAACCCUGAUGCAGCGACGCCGCGUGAGCGAAGAAGUACCUCGGUAUGUAAAGCUCUAUCAGCAGGGAAGAAGAUGACGGUACCUGACUAAGAAGCCCCGGCUAACUACGUGCCAGCAGCCGCGGUAAUACGUAGGGGGCAAGCGUUAUCCGGAUUUACUGGGUGUAAAGGGAGCGUAGACGGCAAUGCAAGUCUGGAGUGAAAGGCGGGGGCCCAACCCCCGGACUGCUCUGGAAACUGUAUAGCUGGAGUGCAGGAGAGGUAAGUGGAAUUCCUAGUGUAGCGGCGAAAUGCGUAGAUAUUAGGAGGAACACCAGUGGCGAAGGCGGCCUGCUGGGCUUUUACUGACGCUGAGGCUCGAAAGUGUGGGGAGCAAACAGGAUUAGAUACCCCCGUA
rnacentral:rRNA from 1 species